rnacentral:rRNA from 1 species
UUAAAUUGAAGAGUUUGAUCAUGGCUCAGAUUGAACGCUGGCGGCAGGCCUAACACAUGCAAGUCGAGCGGUAGCACAGAGAGCUUGCUCUCGGGUGACGAGCGGCGGACGGGUGAGUAAUGUCUGGGAAACUGCCUGAUGGAGGGGGAUAACUACUGGAAACGGUAGCUAAUACCGCAUAACGUCGCAAGACCAAAGUGGGGGACCUUCGGGCCUCAUGCCAUCAGAUGUGCCCAGAUGGGAUUAGCUAGUAGGUGGGGUAACGGCUCACCUAGGCGACGAUCCCUAGCUGGUCUGAGAGGAUGACCAGCCACACUGGAACUGAGACACGGUCCAGACUCCUACGGGAGGCAGCAGUGGGGAAUAUUGCACAAUGGGCGCAAGCCUGAUGCAGCCAUGCCGCGUGUGUGAAGAAGGCCUUCGGGUUGUAAAGCACUUUCAGCGGGGAGGAAGGCGUUAAGGUUAAUAACCUUGGCGAUUGACGUUACCCGCAGAAGAAGCACCGGCUAACUCCGUGCCAGCAGCCGCGGUAAUACGGAGGGUGCAAGCGUUAAUCGGAAUUACUGGGCGUAAAGCGCACGCAGGCGGUCUGUCAAGUCGGAUGUGAAAUCCCCGGGCUCAACCUGGGAACUGCAUUCGAAACUGGCAGGCUAGAGUCUUGUAGAGGGGGGUAGAAUUCCAGGUGUAGCGGUGAAAUGCGUAGAGAUCUGGAGGAAUACCGGUGGCGAAGGCGGCCCCCUGGACAAAGACUGACGCUCAGGUGCGAAAGCGUGGGGAGCAAACAGGAUUAGAUACCCUGGUAGUCCACGCCGUAAACGAUGUCGAUUUGGAGGUUGUGCCCUUGAGGCGUGGCUUCCGGAGCUAACGCGUUAAAUCGACCGCCUGGGGAGUACGGCCGCAAGGUUAAAACUCAAAUGAAUUGACGGGGGCCCGCACAAGCGGUGGAGCAUGUGGUUUAAUUCGAUGCAACGCGAAGAACCUUACCUGGUCUUGACAUCCACAGAACUUUCCAGAGAUGGAUUGGUGCCUUCGGGAACUGUGAGACAGGUGCUGCAUGGCUGUCGUCAGCUCGUGUUGUGAAAUGUUGGGUUAAGUCCCGCAACGAGCGCAACCCUUAUCCUUUGUUGCCAGCGGUUAGGCCGGGAACUCAAAGGAGACUGCCAGUGAUAAACUGGAGGAAGGUGGGGAUGACGUCAAGUCAUCAUGG